AAGUCGAGGGGCAGCAUUUACUCCGGUAAAUGGCGACCGGCGCACGGGUGAGUAACGCGUAUGCAACCUACCUUUAACUGGGGCAUAGCUCGAGGAAACUCGAAUUAAUUCCCCAUAGUACAUUAUAAUAUCACAUGAUAUAAAUGUUAAAGAUUUAUCGGUUAAAGAUGGGCAUGCGUCUGAUUAGUUUGUUGGUAAGGUAACGGCUUACCAAGGCUACGAUCAGUAGGGGGUCUGAGAGGAUGAUCCCCCACACUGGUACUGAGACACGGACCAGACAUCUACGGAUGGCAGCAGUAAGGAAUAUUGGGCAAUGGGCGCAAGCCUGACCCAGCCAUGCCGCGUGCAGGAUGACGACCCUAUGGGUUGUAAACUGCUUUUAUAUAGGAAGAAAAUACUCUUGCGAGAGGAUCUGACGGUACUAUAUGAAUAAGGACCGGCUAACUCCGUGCCAGCAGCCGCGGUAAUACGGAGGGUUCAAGCAUUUUCCGGAUUUAUUGGGUUUAAAGGGUGCGUAGGUGGUUUAUUAAGUCAGUGGUGAAAUCCUGCAGCUCAACUGUAGAACUGCCAUUGAUACUGGUAAACUUGAGUUUGGUUUAGGUAAGCGGAAUUUAUGAUGUAGCGGUGAAAUGCAUAGAUAUCAUAAGGAACACCAAUAGCGAAGGCAGCUUACUGGACCACAACUGACACUGAGGCACGAAAGCGUGGGUAGCGAACAGGAUUAGAUACCCUGGUAGUCCACGCCGUAAACGAUGCUCACUCGAUGUUAGCGAUAUACUGUUAGCGUCCAAGCUAAAGCGUUAAGUGAGCCACCUGGGGAGUGCGCCGGCAACGGUGAAACUCAAAGGAAUUGACGGGGGUCCGCGCAAGCGGUGGAGCAUGUGGUUUAAUUCGAUAAUACGCGAGGAACCUUACCUAGGCUAGAAUGCGAGUGACAUCCAAAGAGAUUU
rnacentral:rRNA from 1 species